rnacentral:rRNA from 1 species
AACGAACGCUGGCGGCAGGCCUAACACAUGCAAGUCGAGCGAGGACUUCGGUCCUAGCGGCGGACGGGUGAGUAACGCGUGGGAACGUGCCCUUUGCUUCGGAAUAGCCCUGGGAAACUGGGAGUAAUACCGGAUGAGCCCUUCGGGGGAAAGAUUUAUCGGCGAAGGAUCGGCCCGCGUUGGAUUAGGUAGUUGGUGGGGUAAUGGCCUACCAAGCCGACGAUCCAUAGCUGGUUUGAGAGGAUGAUCAGCCACACUGGGACUGAGACACGGCCCAGACUCCUACGGGAGGCAGCAGUGGGGAAUCUUAGACAAUGGGGGAAACCCUGAUCGAGCCAUGCCGCGUGAGCGAUGAAGGCCUUAGGGUUGUAAAGCUCUUUCAGCUGGGAAGAUAAUGACGGUACCAGCAGAAGAAGCCCCGGCUAACUCCGUG